rnacentral:rRNA from 1 species
UGAUUUAUUAAAGGGCUGCAGUAAUUUGACUGUACAAAGGUAGCAUAAUCAUUAGUCUUUUAAUUGAAGACUUGUAUGAAGGAUUUGAUGAAAUAUAAACUGUCUCUAAAUUAUAAUUAAAAUUUAAUUUUUUAGUUAAAAAGCUAAAAUAAAUUUAAAAGACGAGAAGACCCUAUAGAGUUUUAUAGUUUAUAAUUUAAAAUAUUUAUAUAAAAAUUUAAUAUAAAAUAUUAUAAAUUAUUUUGUUGGGGUGAUAAAAAAAUAAGAAAAACUUUUUUUUUAUAUAAACAUAAAUAAUUGAAUUAAUGAUCCUAAGUAAAGAUUAUAAGAAAAAAUUACCUUAGGGAUAACAGCGUAAUAUUUUUUUUUAGUACAAAUAAAAAAAAAAGUUUGCGACCUCGAUGUUGGAUUAAGAUAAAAUUUAAAUGCAAAAGUUUAAAA